GACGAACGCUGGCGGCGUGCCUAAUACAUGCCAGUAGAACGCUGAAGGAGGAGCUUGCUUCUCUGGAUGAGUUGCGAACGGGUGAGUAACGCGUAGGUAACCUGCCUGGUAGCGGGGGAUAACUAUUGGAAACGAUAGCUAAUACCGCAUAAUAUUGACUAUUGCAUGAUAGUCAUUUGAAAGGUUCAACUGCACCACUACCAGAUGGACCUGCGUUGUAUUAGCUAGUUGGUGGGGUAACGGCUCACCAAGGCGACUAUACAGAGCGGACCGGGGAGGGUGGUCGGCCACACUGGGACUGAGACACGGCCCAGAGGGCUACGGGAAGCAGCAGGAGGGAAUCUUCGGCAAGGGGCGGAAGGCUGACCGAGCAACGCCGCGGGAGUGAAGAAGGGUUUCGGGUCGGAAAGCUCUGUUGUAAGAGAAGAACGAGUGUGAGAGUGGAAAGCUCACACUGUGACGGUAUCUUAACAGAAAGGAACGGCUAACUACGUG
rnacentral:rRNA from 1 species